UGGCCCAGAUCAGAGGUAAAGGUAGCCUG
rnacentral:piRNA from 1 species